UAAUAUUGGGUAAAGCACUAAACGGUGUAAG
rnacentral:piRNA from 1 species